rnacentral:snRNA from 1 species
GGAUGUGAGGGCCAUCUGGCUGCGACAUCUUUCACCCCAUUGAUCGCCAGGGUUGAUUCGGUUGAUCUGGCUGGCUAGGCGAGUGUCCCCUUCCUCCCUCACCGCUCCAUGUGCGUCUCUCCCGAAGCUGCAAGCGGUCUGGUCGAAGAGGACAGCCUUCCCCAAAUAGAGAAGGACCAGUCUUCGUGGAGGGUAUACGAGUAGGUGCGCUCCCCUGCCAGAACCUCCAAAAAAGCUCUCAAGGUCCAUUUGAACUAGGAGCUCUGGCUAUCAUCCCCUUUCUACCCUUGCUACUGAUAAAUUAGUUUAGCUCUUCAU